ACUUUUUACAAAUUGAAUAAGAUAUAAAUACCUUCAAACUUCUCGGUUAAUUUGUAACAUUGCGUGGCAGUCUACAGAAAGCUUUAGUGCCUUUAUUUGAGCAGAUAUGAUUUUUCAUUUGAGUAUCCUGUUAUUAACGUUUUCAAGUGUCGGUGCACGAUGGCCGCUGUGUCCUCCACGAUUGAUGCAGAAUUGUCCUGGGAAUCUAGUGUGUGUCAAUGGAAUGUGCAAGCCCUGGUGUAAGUA